AUGGUAUGCCUCCAUGAACUCCCGGUACUUGGCCGGAUUCCUUGCCUCGUGCACCGUCUUCGGUGUCGGGCCUAUGCGGCACUCCAUCUUGGGCAUGACGAGGGUGCCACCAACAACCUUGCUGCUAUGGAGUUGGUGACCACAUGGUGCUGUGCUCGACCCUCGCUCAGCACCCCAUUGCUCUCAAUGACUCCGUCUGGUGCCCAAGUUGAUGACAAAUGUAUCGGGUACUGUGGGACUAUGAGCCACCUUCUGUCACCCUGGGAUUGGGAGAGCAUGGUGAGGAGGUGGGGGUCGCAGUGUGGGAAGAAGCCAAGCGUGACGGUGACGGUCGGGUCUGGGCAUGGUGGGUAG
rnacentral:rRNA from 1 species